GGUGUCUUCUGCUGGCCACUCUUCCUGCUGCCUCUGACUGCUCAGCUUUGUUUUGGUGUGUAGGCCCCAGCUGCUCUCGGGGGCUGUCUGCCAGCACUUGUUCUCCCAAGAUCUUCCACACUUCUUGGCCGCCCCUGUGGCAGGGGUGGUGGUGUUGGGGCCCCUUAGUCUGGUGAAGGACUGUUGCUGCUGCUUCUCUUCCUUCCUUCCCCUCCUUGGCUGGUGAUCCAGAGCCCUCUGAUGACAGCAUACUCCUGGCCAGAGAAAAGGACUUGACUAGACUUUCUGAACUUGAACAGUUUCAGGUUAUAUUUUAAUUUUUUUUUUUUUUGUACAGGUUAAUUCUAAUACAUUUCAACAUACUUUUUUCUCCCCUUGUGUCAAUAUUUGUUAUAGACUAAUCGCCGGGGAUUUUUUUACCUGGUUGGAGGGUGGCAUGUGUGUAUGUGUGUGUGUAUUGUUUUGUUUUUUAUAAAGGGAGGUGGAAGUCCUGGACUGAUACUAAAGUUCACUGAGGAAAAAGCACAUUUUAGAACAAAAAAAAAAAUAAAAUAAAAGUGUAGAUUUGAUGUAUGUGCCUGGAGUGUGGGGUCACAUAGCUGGUAGAUCUGGAGGGGUGGGGAGUCGGGUGGUUCAGGAAAAUAAGAUGCUACCAUGGUUAAAAAAUGGGUUUUUCCUUUUCCUAAAAUGUUCAGCAGAUGUUGCAGUAUUCUCAUGUCCCUUUCAUGUUGGUAUGUGUGCCCGAACAACACUGUGCCCAAACAACACUGUGCCCAAUGAGAGAGAGAAGUGUAAUUCCCAAAGAGUCUUUCAUGAUUUCCUGGUCACAUACUUGUGGAAAGGGGGUUCUAUUAUUAAUAAACGUG
rnacentral:lncRNA from 1 species